rnacentral:telomerase_RNA from 1 species
AAAUGCUCAGGAAUUAGUGAGUUAACGAGUUAUAAGGAAUGUUGCUAAGACAUGUCCUUAUGUUGUAAACCUAACCCAAACCUUUUUCUUUAUCUCCUCCUUAAUGUACAAUUUCCCUCGUCAUACGAUGAUAUCUUGUACAUUAGCCUGGGUUUUGUCGUCCUGGUUCCAGGUUAAAUAAAACGGUGUUUUCGAACACCUUUGACAGGAUAUUCUUGUUAACUUCUAUUU